CAGCAGCCGCGGUAAUACGGAGGGAGCUAGCGUUGUUCGGAAUUACUGGGCGUAAAGCGCGCGUAGGCGGUUACUCAAGUCAGAGGUGAAAGCCCGGGGCUCAACCCCGGAACUGCCUUUGAAACUAGGUGACUAGAAUCUUGGAGAGGUCAGUGGAAUUCCGAGUGUAGAGGUGAAUUUUGUAGAUAUUCGGAAGAACACCAGUGGCGAAGGCGACUGACUGGACAAGUAUUGACGCUGAGGUGCGAAAGCGUGGGGAGCAAACAGGAUUAGAUACCCCCGUAGUCCCUGUCUCUUAUAC
rnacentral:rRNA from 1 species